CCUGGGAGCAACCCUCCUUCUGGGAGCCAGCACACGGUGAGCCUGAUCAGGAAGACAGAGCCUCCUGGGCCUGAGCCAGGCUGAAGAAUAAAACAGAGGAUCCAUUUGAGAAUGUAAACAUAUCCAGGAGGAAGAGGACCAGCGUUUGCAACUUUAAGGAGGAGGCCUUGCCACUGACUGCAGCUCUCAUAUCAGGGUAUUAGCAUCACUUGGAAGCUUAUUCAUGAUGCAGAGUAUCAGGCCCAUGCUACACCUUUUAAGAAGAUC